GCGCGAGUAGCUCAGUUGGUAGAGCGCAACCUUGCCAAGGUUGAGGUCGCGGGUUCGAAUCCCGUCUCGCGCU
rnacentral:tRNA from 1 species